rnacentral:rRNA from 1 species
AUAUCAAUAAGCGGAGGAAGAUUCCGUAGGUGCACCUGCGGAUAUGCAUAUCGAUAAGCGGAGGAGGACUCCGUACUCUGAAAUUUAGAGUCGCCUGAGUACUAUAUAAUAGUUAAUACUUUCAACAACGGAUCUCUUGGUUCUGGCAUCGAUGAAGAACGCAGCGAAAUGCGAUAAGUAAUGUGAAUUGCAGAAUUCAGUGAAUCAUCGAAUCUUUGAACGCACAUUGCGCCCCUUGGUAUUCCGGGGGGCAUGCCUGUUCGAGCGUCAUUACAACCCUCAAGCUCUGCUUGGUAUUGGGCGUCCCCGGCGACGGGUUGCCCUAAAAUCAGUGGCGGUGCCGUCUGGCUCUAAGCGUAGUAAAUCUCUCGCUCUGGAUGCCCGGUGGAUGCUCGCCAGAACCCCCCAUUUUUACAGGUUGACCUCGGAUCAGGUAGGGAUACCCGCUGAACUUAAGCAUAUCAUAGCCGGAGAAACUU